GCCGUCAAUUCAUUUAAGUUUUAAUCUUGCGACCGUACUCCCCAGGCGGUCUACUUCACGCGUUAGCUGCGUUACUAAGUCAAUUAAGACCCAACAACUAGUAGACAUCGUUUAGGGCGUGGACUACCAGGGUAUCUAAUCCUGUUUGCUCCCCACGCUUUCGUGCAUGAGCGUCAGUUUUGACCCAGGGGGCUGCCUUCGCCAUCGGUGUUCCUCCACAUCUCUACGCAUUUCACUGCUACACGUGGAAUUCAACCCCCCUCUGCCAAACUCUAGCCUCGCAGUCUCCAUCGCCAUUCCCAGGUUAAGCCCGGGGAUUUCACGACAGACUUACGAAACCGCCUGCGCACGCUUUACGCCCAGUAAUUCCGAUUAACGCUUGCACCCUACGUAUUACCGC
rnacentral:misc_RNA from 1 species